GGAGUUCCCACUGUGGUGAAACAGUAUCAGUGGCAUCUCUGGAGCCCAGCAGAAUGGUUUAUGGGUCAGUGGAUGGAGGCAGAGGCUUAAAGGCUUAAAGCUGCACCUUGAAAGAUGCCCAGAACCAAGUCUUCGCAGAGCACCUUUGUUGAAUUCCUUACGCAUUGCUUGAAGCAGCUGAUAUGCAGCUUGUGGUUGAUGUGAAUUGAAGCAUUCCCCUUGGGACAACAACAGGGAUGCUAUGAAAACAUUAAAGAGAUAACAUAACUGGGUCCUUUGGCUAAAGUGGCCGAGCUACUGCCUCUCUGCUGGCACCCCAGGCCGGAUCUCGGAAGAAGCCAGCCGUGUGGUUCGUAAAAGGCAGCAGAAGGCGCCCAUCUCCACGGGAAGCAUCCUGGUUUAGAGAAACAAGUGCUCUGUGGAAGUUCCAGCAUCACAUGGAUGAGCCGAACGACUGGGACAAGUCAUGUGCCAGCUUCAGCCUUCCGUCUUUAGCUGUAAAACCGGUCCCUCUCUUCCAACCUCUUUAGGCAGUUUGCAGACACGUACACCAGUUCUGUUACUCAUAUGGAAUUGGUAGAACUUAAUAUGAGACUCAGUACAGCAUGGAGGUGGAUGAUAACAGCUCACAUAUACAGCCUGACUAGCUACCAAGAAUUGUUCCAAGUCAGAUGUUCCAACCGUUCUCAUUUCGUGGCAUUCACAGUGACACUGUUUUUUGUUUUUUGUUUUUUUUUUUCAUGGCAUA